rnacentral:rRNA from 1 species
GGGGAAUAUUGGACAAUGGGGGGCAACCCUGAUCCAGCAAUGCCGCGUGUGUGAAGAAGGUCUUCGGAUUGUAAAGCACUUUCGACGGGGACGAUGAUGGCGGUACCCGUAGAAGAAGCCCCGGCUAACUUCGUGCCAGCAGCCGCGGUAAUACGAAGGGGGCUAGCGUUGCUCGGAAUGACUGGGCGUAAAGGGCGUGUAGGCGGUUUACACAGUCAGAUGUGAAAUCCCCGGGGCUUAA